GUCCCGACUAGAAACAGAUGUGCGUUCGAUGAAUGGUAUCGAGAAGGCAUCGGUUAAAUAUUUAGAAGAUUGAUCCCGGGAUACUUAAUAGCGCAUCAUCUGUUGUAGAAAUGUUUUUAUAGAUUACAAUGUUAACUGACAUCAUUACAUAGGCUUAAGUAUGUAAGGCUUUAUGUCAGGCUUUAAUCUUCUCAUGCACGGAAUAAUCAUGAAAGGUAUGU
rnacentral:lncRNA from 1 species